GUUGUACUCCCUCUGGCCAGAAAUACUUGUCCUAGAAAUGGAUAAAAUGGAUGUAUCUAUAACUAAAAUAAGUCUAGAUACAACCAUUCCUAAGACAAGUAUUUCCGGACAGAGGGAGUAGUUA
rfam:Triticum aestivum genome assembly, contig: Triticum_aestivum_CS42_TGACv1_scaffold_061948_1DL